rnacentral:tRNA from 1 species
AUCUUUUUGGCAGAAAUAUUGCAUUAGAUUUAGAAUCUAAUAAAACUA